rnacentral:rRNA from 1 species
CCUACGGGGGGCAGCAGUGGGGGAUAUUGCACAAUGGGGGAAACCCUGAUGCAGCGACGCCGCGUGGGUGAAGAAGUAUUUCGGUAUGUAAAGCCCUAUCAGCAGGGAAGAAAGAAGACGGUACCUGACUAAGAAGCCCCGGCUAACUACGUGCCAGCAGCCGCGGUAAUACGUAGGGGGCGAGCGUUAUCCGGAUUCACUGGGUGUAAAGGGAGCGUAGACGGCCGGGCAAGCCAGGAGUGAAAGCCCGGGGCCCAACCCCGGGACUGCUCUUGGAACUGGGCGGCUGGAGUGCGGGAGGGGCAGGCGGAAUUCCUGGUGUAGCGGUGAAAUGCGUAGAUAUCAGGAGGAACACCGGCGGCGAAGGCGGCCUGCUGGACCGCGACUGACGUUGAGGCUCGAGAGCGUGGGGAGCGAACAGGAUUAGAUACCCUUGUAGUC